rnacentral:lncRNA from 1 species
AAUUUCUCACACAUACUAAUUAUCCCACUGCAUUUAAAAUAUUCAAUUGUUUGUUUUUUAUUUUAAAAAUAAUUAAUUUUAUAUAAUAAAUAAAAUAAAUGCUUUAAAAAAAUAAAAUAAAAAAUCAAUUUUUCUUUUCUUAUUCCUAUUAAUUCUCUUUUGACCCUUUCAAAGUAUAAACAAAUCAUUUUUUAUAUUCC